AUUGAACGCUGGCGGCAGGCCUAACACAUGCAAGUCGAGCGAGCGGCGGACGGGUGAGGAAUGUAUGGGGACUGCCCGAUAGAGGGGGAUAACUACUGGAAACGGUGGCUAAUACCGCAUACUAACGGAUAACCCAUAAGGGAUUAGCUAGUAGGUGGGGUAAAGGCUCACCUAGGCGACGAUCUCUAGCUGGUCUGAGAGGAUGUAAAGCCCCACUGUGCAGGUGACACGGACAAGACUCCUACGGAGGCAGCAGUGGGUAAUAGUGCACAAUGGGCGCUAGCCUUAUGCAGCCAUGCCGCGUGUAGGAAGAAGGCAUUAGGGUUGUAAAGUACUUUCAGCGGGACGGCGUUCCCCGCAGAAGAAGCACCGGCCAGAUCCGUGCAAGCAGCCACGGUAAUAC
rnacentral:rRNA from 1 species